rnacentral:rRNA from 1 species
GAUGAACGCUAGCGGCAGGCUUAACACAUGCAAGUCGAGGGGUAACAGGGAAGCUUGCUUCCGCUGACGACCGGCGCACGGGUGCGUAACACGUAUGGAAUCUGCCCUUUACUGGAGAAUAGCCCGAAGAAAUUCGGAUUAAUGCUCCAUAAUAAACGAGAUGGCAUCAUCUUGUUUUGAAAGCUCCGGCGGUAAAGGAUGACCAUGCGCCCGAUUAGUUUGUUGGUGAGGUAACGGCUCACCAAGACUACGAUCGGUAGGGGGCCUGAGAGGGUUAUCCCCCACACUGGUACUGAGACACGGACCAGACUCCUACGGGAGGCAGCAGUGAGGAAUAUUGCGCAAUGGAGGCAACUCUGACGCAGCCAUGCCGCGUGCAGGAAGAAGGCGCUACGCGUUGUAAACUGCUUUUAAACGGGAAGAAACCCCGGGACGUGUCCCGGGUUGACGGUACCGUUGGAAUAAGCACCGGCUAACUUCGUG